rnacentral:rRNA from 1 species
AUUGAACGCUGGCGGCAGGCCUAACACAUGCAAGUCGAGCGAGCGGCGGACGGGGGAGUAAUGUGUGGGAAAAUGCCUGAUGGAGGGGGAUAACUACUGGAAACGGUAGCUAAUACCGCAUACCAUCAGAUGUGCCCAGAUGGGAGUAGCUAGUUGGUGGGGUAACGGCUCACCUAGGCGACGAUCCCUAGCUGGUCUGAGAGGAUGACCAGCCACACGGGAAUGGAGACACGGUCCAGACUCCUACGGGAGGCCGCAGUGGGGAAUAUUGCACAAUGGGCGCAAGCCUGAGUCAGCCAUGCCGCGUGUGUGAAGAGGGCCUUCGGGUUGUAAAGCACUUUCAGCGGGGAGGCGUUACCCGCAGAAGAAGCACCGGCUAACUCCGUGCCAGCAGCCGCGGUAAUUC